rnacentral:rRNA from 1 species
UACGUAGGUGGCAAGCGUUAUCCGGAAUUAUUGGGCGUAAAGCGCUCGCAGGCGGUUUCUUAAGUCUGAUGUGAAAGCCCACGGCUCAACCGUGGAGGGUCAUUGGAAACUGGGAGACUUGAGUGCAGAAGAGGAGAGUGGAAUUCCACGUGUAGCGGUGAAAUGCGUAGAGAUGUGGAGGAACACCAGUGGCGAAAGGCGACUCUCUGGUCUGUAACUGACGCUGAGGAGCGAAAGCGUGGGGAGCAAACAGG